GCACUGUGAAGCUCCAGAGAAGUGUGACAUUAGAGCCGCAGACAGAACACCUGGUUUGGGGAAAGCUACCCGUGUCUUCAGUGUUGUCGGUGGGCAGCACAGUCAUCGUUGAGCCGACAAAGUCAAGGUCAAGACCAAAGCAGAUAAUGGUCGGCAGAGUAAUCACACCGCUUUGGGGAGAUGGUUCUGUUCCGCUGAAAGUCAUCAAUCCAACCAACCACAGAGUCGUGUUGAGAAAGAACACCAAGAUAGCUGAUGUGUCCCCUUGUAUCGCUGUGGAAGAACUACCACAACCAGAACAGAUCAAGUCAAAUGUGCAGUGCGCUGAGAAUGCCUGUCCCGCUUCAACGCCCAGAUCCAGUGACGAGAUUAAACAUGUCCUGAGCAACCUGAAUCUUCCUGACGUCGACUUGGAGUCUUGUGAGGUGUCAGCACACUGGAAAGACGAGCUGCUUCAAGUCAUUGAGAGAUAUGAGUCAAUCUUCUCAAGAGACAAAAUGGACUGUGGAGAAGCCAGAGACGUCCCCAAUUUAGCAGUAUUUAAGGGGGGUGUAUGUAACGGUGUUAAUAAAGUGCUCCAUAUAGUUAAUCCUGCUAAAUGGGUCAAGACUUUUAUUUUGGAAUUAUUCUGUACAGUAGUUGCAUUGUGGGUGUCCUGCAGCAGAAGAGAAGUUAACUGCUGCAGGUAAGCUGGGCAAAUGAGGGUCCGCAUUAAAAGUCAUUAAAAGUGUUAUAAAUUGUGUUAUAUAUGUCCUAUAUCUAUUGUUAAAAUCAUUAUGUAUGUUCAUCCACAUAACUCGCGUUUCAGCAAUGUUUUGUAUUGUCUUGUAACUUUUAUUUGGUUUUGUAUUUUCGGUUGACCUUGAAGCACGAUCGUAUGGCUUUAGUGCAAAUUUUAAUAUCACAUUUAUUUUGUUCAGGCGGACCAGAUCUCACUGUCUUCCCUCAUGUUGUAUUUCCUGACCCAUGCAGACAAAUAAACCUGCUUCAUCUACCAUCAUCGUUUCCGAGUGUAUCACCAGUAAAACACAAUGCAAGUUACACGAGCACCAUUAUAAAAUAACGGUGGCCAGCAAGGGACAUAUGAGAAAUACAGCUCAGUCUUUGGCAUCUGCAUGCAUAUAAAAAAACAUUCAUCUGCAGAAUUUCCCUACAGUACAUUCAGCAAUGUAAGUUAUGAACCCAUUUUCUACAAGCCACAUGUCUUCCUAACAUUCCGACAUUGAAAUUAUAUAUAUAUCUGGUUUCUAGACCCAGAGACAGUUGAUAAACUAACCCAACACAGUUUUUCUAGAACUAGACUACCAAAAAAGUUGCUGAACGUGUGUUAUUUCAGGUUAUCAUCCAGAGAGAAAAAAUACUCUUAUGUGAUUGGCUGGUGGGGUUGGCUUCUAUGGAUUAGGAAUAGAUGGGCUCCUCCUAUUAAGUCAGGUUCUGCUCAAGGUUUCUUCCUGGAGUUUUUCCUUGCCUCAGUUGCCAUAUGGCGUGCUUGUGAGGGGUAAAGGGUAAAGGCUGGCAGUCUUAAAUGUCUGUGUAUAAAGUCAAAUAAUUGCGACAUAUGCUAAAAACAUGCUAAGGCUGGCUAAUGGCACCUGAGGUGGCACCACAAGGUUUUUUUGGUACGAGG